UACAGAGGGUGCGAGCGUUAAUCGGAAUUACUGGGCGUAAAGCGUGCGUAGACGGUAGCGUAAGUCAGAUGUGAAAGCCCCGGGCUCAACCUGGGAACUGCAUUUGUGACUGUAGAGCUGGAGUACGGCAGAGGGGGAUGGAAUUCCGCGUGUAGCAGUGAAAUGCGUAGAUAUCAGGGGGAAUACCGAUGGCGAAGGCAGGUCUCUGGGCUGACACUGACGCUCAUGCACGAAAGCGUGGGGAGCAAACAGG
rnacentral:rRNA from 1 species